CGGGAAAAUGUGAGGGGAGAAAAAAAGGUGGGAAAACGUGAGGGGAGACGCUUUGGGGUCACUGACGGAGCAGAGCUCUACGGGGCAGGCCCUGCCCCGGCACUCAUUAACGCAUCGAUUAACACCUCAUUAACGCACUCUUUAAUAAUUCAUUUAUUGCUUUCCGACCGGCGGGACCCUCGAUGUAACAGGUGAGUGAUCUGUGGGGCAGGUAAGGCCUCCGUGGGGCAGGUAAUGGAUCCAUGGGGCAGGUGAGGUCUCCGUGGGGCAGGUGAGGCCUCUAUGGGGCAAGUGAUGACUCUUUGCCCAGGUGAGGGGUUUGUAGAACAGGUGAGGGAUCUGUGGGGCAGGUAAUGGAUCUAUGGGGCAGGUGAGGCCUCUAUGGGGCAGGUGAGGCCUCUGUGGGGCAGAUAAUGGAUCCAUGGGGCAGGUAAUGGAUCUGUGGGGCAGGUAAUGGAUCUAUGGGGCAGGUAAUGGAUCCAUGGGGCAGGUAAUGGAUCCAUGGGGCAGGCGAGGUCUCCGUGGGGCAGGUGAGGGUCCCGCGGCGGGCCAGGUGUGUCUCUUGCUCCCCAGGUGUGCCUCAGUAGUUGCCGCGCUCCUGCCGGAAGCCGCC